rnacentral:tRNA from 1 species
UCCCUGGAGGACUAGUGGUUAGGCCACAGCGCUCUCACCGCUGCGGGCUGGGUUCGAUUCCCGGCCAGCGAA